GUGAGAACCAGGGAUGGCAGCCCGAGCAGCCAAACAGGCCUCAGCUUGAUGUUACAGGCUUUAAAGAUGAUGGCAGGGGGACAGGAGCCAAGGACUGAUGGUGGAUCUAGAAGCCGGAAAAGACAACCAAGCGGAUUCUCCCUAGAACCUCCAGAAGGAAAGGCAGCCUUGCUGGCUGAGCCCACUGAGACCCAUGCCAGGCUCCUGACCCCCGGAGUGCUGGCCUGCCUAUGUGAGGAGACAGCAUGUCUCUAGAAACAAGGAGAGACCAUGGGCUUGAAGCCAAGCUGAGCUGAGCUAGAUUCCUUCUUGGCCACCAGAAGACACUGUGACCUCCUAGCAAGCACUGUGACCUCUGCUGGGAAGCCUCCAGCCAUCCCUCCUCCCUACUGACCCUCCCUGGUUGUCUUUCCUCCUGCUUAUUCCAGCCAGCUCCACUCCUUCUUCUCUGGGAAGCCUUUCCAGACUCCUAAGGGUAGGCUCAGCCACUCCCUCCCCAUCUGAUUCUCCCACAGCAUCCACACUUUUCCCUGACAGCAAUCAUCACAACUAUAAUGAAGUUAGUGUAAUAAUUUGUUGACAUUUAUCUCCCUGGAGUUGCAAACCCUCAGAGAACAGGGCCGGUGUCCAUCUUGUUCACAGCUCUGUCCUCAGAUGUAAGAAGAGCCCCUGGCACACUGUGCCCAGGAAGUCUCUGCUGGCUAGGACCAACCAAAACCUGAGUCUUAAUUGCCUGCUCUAUAAAACACCUCGUUGAGCUGUUGCAAGGAUUAAAUGGUAUAAUGUUGUAAAGCAUUAAACAGGAUUACUCAUUA